rnacentral:tRNA from 5 species
GCCGGAGUGGCGGAAUGGUAGACGCAGCGGACUCAAAAUCCGCCGCCCUUAAAAGCGUGUGGGUUCGAGUCCCACCUCCGGCACCA